UACGUAGGUGACAAGCGUUGUCCGGAUUUACUGGGCGUAAAGAGCGCGCAGGCGGUCGAUCAAGUCGAGUGUGAAAGCCCCCGGCUCAACUGGGGAGGGUCAUUCGAUACUGAUCGACUCGAAGGCAGGAGAGGGUAGUGGAAUUCCCGGUGUAGUGGUGAAAUGCGUAGAUAUCGGGAGGAACACCAGUGGCGAAGGCGGCGAUCUGGGUCGAUACUGACGCUGAGGUGCGAAAGCGUGGGGAGCAAACAGG
rnacentral:rRNA from 1 species